GGAUAAUGUGACGAAUCUAUACCGAAAUAAAGCGAUGAUACUCGCCCUGUAAUGGGGCUGCACUCGACAUACUCCCAAUUACAACAGUUGGGAAUUCCCCCCCAAGAAGACAUGGACCCGCGAUUAGAAUUACUGAAGUAAGCUUUGAGCUUCAACAGAGCAAUUCUCUCGUCAUCCCAACAGCCAUCACACCACCAUUUCCCAUGUAACAAUAAAACCAUCAUCAAAGACAUCCAC
rnacentral:misc_RNA from 1 species